GCGCCUAUAGCUCAACUGGAUAGAGUGUCUGACUACGAAUCAGAAGGUUAGGGGUUCGAGUCCCUUUGGGCGCACCA
rnacentral:tRNA from 27 species